UGGUGGAAAUGCUACCCCCUCUUGAAUAACUCUGAAUCUAAUCUUUGCAGCUCAAGAUCUCCUUCUUCUUUCCUUUGAAUCUUCAAUCCAAUCCUCAAGAACAUCUAUAUGGAUAUGUUGAAGUGAAAUUCUUUUCCAUUUUCCUCUUUUUGAUUAUCGGGAAGGUUGCUCUCAAAGUCUGUCUUGAAUACCCCAAAUUUCUCCCUCUCUAGAAACC
rnacentral:lncRNA from 1 species